rnacentral:sRNA from 1 species
GUUUCUCCAGGCGCUAAUGAUGUAACAUUA